rnacentral:lncRNA from 1 species
CGGUUUAAAAUCUGAUGGACUUCAAUUGGUUUGGAAUCUGAAAGCUUGUAGAAGUCAGAAUCAAAAUCGUAACUUAAUUGAUUUUAAGUCUGAUUUUCUGUAGUAUUUUGUCAUCUUUGUACAGUGUUAGAAAUCUUCUUGUAGAUAAACAGUAGUGAUAUCAGAAAUCUUUCUGUAGCUUGCUUGUCAUCUUUAAAUCCUAGUGU